AUGGACCAAUCCAUCCCUUUUUCCCAUUCAUAUGCAUUGGACUCGGAUGAUGAUGGUACCGAUGAAGAAGUUGAUGAGGAGGGGUUCACGCCGAAGGAGGCCGAAGCAUGUAAGAAGGUCUUCCGGCGGGAUCACAAGACACCAUUGUUCAAGGAUCUUAGUCUCGCGGAUGAAGCCGUUGUAGAUGGUGGCAAAUGUAUAUCUGUUGGAGGUAGGCCAAGUUCUCACCGUGAUUUGGAAGACGGCAAGAACGGGAUAUAUCCUGGUUGUGAGUUUGAAUCCUUCUUGAAUUGA
rnacentral:rRNA from 1 species